CAUGUCAUAAAUGCCCUUCGAUCCAUCUUGUCCCUGCUAACCAAGUUGACAUCUUGGGUAGGCCCAUGCACCUGCACUUGAUCGAUAUGCCUCUAAACCCAUAUAUCUGUCCAAAUGUCUUUUAAACAGUAAAAGAAGCAAGUUCACAUGAUGCCCGGUCCAUCACAGGUACCGACCUCCCCACAGUUGAAGGGAUUGAUAGAAGUCGCCACA